rnacentral:tmRNA from 1 species
GGGGCUGUAUUGGAAUUGACAUCAAGAUUAAUAUAUAAGUAAGCAUAUCGUGUAUUGUAAUGUAAUCACGUAAAAUUAAUUACAAAAAAAAACCGACAAAACAAAUUAUGCUCUUGCUGCUUAAUAUUAUUUAUUAAUAAAGAGUAAAUUCGCAUAAACUGCGAAAGCAAGAUAUUAUUUUAUUUUUUUUUUCUUACAAAAGAAUAAAAUAUAAAAUAUAGUAAGAAUAGGAAAAAUUGAGGUUCUAAAUUUUUCUAAAAUUUAUAUAGAACUAUUUUCUUUGUUAAAAUUUCUUGUUAUUUUACUUAGAAUUAUUUUUUUUUUAUAAGAUAAAUAUGUAGAAAGCUUAUAAUAUUACUUGUUUGGACACGGGUUCGAAUCCCGUCAGCUCCACUU